AACGAACGCUGGCGGCAUGCCUAACACAUGCAAGUCGAACGAAGGCUUCUGCCUUAGUUUCGCACUUGUGCGUAACGCGUUGGAAUCUGCCCUUUGGUUCGGAAUAACAUCUGGAACCGGCUUCUAAUUCCGGCUGAUGACGAAAGUCCAAGUAUUUAUCGCCAUAGGAUGAGCCCGCGUUGGUUUAGGUCGUUGGUGUGGUAAAGGCCUACCAAGCCGCCGCUCCAUAGCUGGUCUGAGAGGAUGAUCAGCCACACUGGGACUGAGACACGGCACAGGCUGGGAAGGGAGGAAGAAGUGGGGAAUACUGGAGAAUGGGCGCAAGCCGGAGCAAGAAAGGCCGCGUGAGGGAUGAAGGCCCUAGGGGUGUAAAGCUCUUUUGCUCGGGAAGAUAAUGACGGUACCGGGAGAAUAAGCACCGACUAACUACGUG
rnacentral:rRNA from 1 species